AUGGAAAAAGGGGGCGGGAAUAAAACAACUGGUUUGUUGUGUGUGUCAUAAGAUACGCAGCAAGUUUAGACGAAGUUGAAACAAAGUUUUUAUUUAAUUCUCGCUAAACAUGCAGUGGUUUACGAAGUUUUAACGCCAGAACAAAAGACUCAUGCAGAGAUUUUACCAUGUUGAUCUGGUUGAAUCUUCUUCUGCUGUGCUUUCUCAAUUUUAGUGGAACCACCACUUUAUCUGUGAGAGGAAGAAAGGGAGACAUCGUCACUCUGCCUUGUCAUUUUGAGACCAGAGAACUUUUUCAGAUUAGUUUAAACACUCGGUCAGAAAACAUAGAUGUGUGUCAGACUGAAGAAUGUAGUGGACGAGUGUUUAAAGGGGGAA